AAAUCCCACAGCUAAAUCAAAAUAAAGAAAAAAUGGCAGUGAUUCAUAGCCGUUGGAUCCUUAUUGUUCUUGUUGUUCUUAAUUUUCCGGGCGCCAUUUUUGGUUAUUCCGAAAAAGAAUUGAAAAAUUGGUGUAGCCAAACACCAUAUCCAGCUCCAUGCGAGCAAUUUAUCAAAGCCAAAGCCACCGCCAAACAUUCCCCAAUCGCCACUAAAUCCCAUUUCCUUAAACUCUUGGUCGAAACGGCACUCGACGGCGCCGUUUCGGCCCAAAAAACCGCGCUGUCUCUCGGCCCAAAAUGCCACAAUGGCCGAGAAAAAUCAGCAUUGACCGACUGCGUUGACCUUUACAAUCAAAUCAUCUCCCGCCUCAACCGCUCCGCCGACCGCUGCUCCUCCGUCGACGCCCAGACUUGGCUCAGCGCCUCCCUCACCGCCCUCGACACCUGCCGGAACAGCCUCCAGGAGCUCGGGGUUUCGGCUUUCGGCUACCCUUUGACGAGCAAUAAUGUUUCCAAGCUCAUUAGCGAUGGGUUGUCUGUGAAUAAGCCGGCGUCACCCCAGGGGUUUGAACCAACUAUGGCGGAGGGGUUUCCGACGUGGGUUAGGCCCGGUGACCGGAAACUGCUGCAGUCGGGGUCUCCGAGUGCGGAUGUGGUGGUGGCGAAGGACGGGUCUGGGAAUUUUAAGACGGUGAAGGAGGCGGUCGCCGCUGCGAAAGGCGGCGGGAGAUUUGUGAUAUAUGUGAAGGCGGGGGUUUAUAGUGAAAACCUUGAGAUUAAUGCUAAGAAUGUUAUGUUGAUCGGCGACGGAAUCGGAAAAACUGUCAUCACCGGAAGUAGAAGUGUCGGCGGCGGUUUCACCACGUUUAGAUCCGCCACCGUGGCCGUUGAUGGAGACGGCUUUAUCGCGCGAGACAUAACCUUCAGAAACACUGCCGGAGCGGCGAACCACCAGGCGGUGGCGCUCCGAUCGGGGUCUGACCUGUCGGUCUUCUAUCGAUGUGGCUUCGAAGGCUAUCAAGAUACUCUCUACGUCUACGCCGAACGCCAAUUCUACAAACAAUGCGACAUUUACGGCACUGUCGAUUUCAUCUUCGGCAACGCCGCCGUCGUACUCCAAGAUUGCAACAUCAUCGCCCGCGAUCCUCCGAAUAGGACUAUCACCGUCACCGCCCAGGGCCGAUCAGAUCCGAAUCAGAACACCGGAAUCUCGAUCCACAAUUCCCGAAUCACGUCCGCCGGCGGCCUCAGCGGCGUCAAAGCCUAUUUAGGUCGGCCGUGGAGGCAGUACUCGCGGACAGUUAUUAUGAAAUCGUCGAUCGGCGGAUUCAUCAGUCCGGCCGGGUGGCUAGAAUGGAGCGGUAAUUUUGCCCUAAAUACACUCUAUUACGGCGAAUAUAUGAAUACCGGUCCGGGAGCUUCGACGGCGAAUCGAGUGAAAUGGAAGGGCUAUCGUGUAAUUACCAGUGCGACGGAGGCCUCCAAGUUCACCGUCGGGAAUUUCAUCGCCGGUGGAUCUUGGUUACCGAGUACCGGCGUGCCUUUCACCCCCGGCCUCUAGAAACGCUGCCGUUUUACUCUGCUUACUAUUUUGUAUGUAUUCUUAAAUCUUAAUAAUCGUUUUUUUUUUUUUUUUUCUUUUCGUCUCUGGGAAACCGAUCUAAAAUGGUUGGGUUUGAGAAAUUACGGUAUAUAAUAUAUAUAUAUAUAUAUAUAUAUAUAUAUAUAGUAUGUAUUUGUAUUUCAAUGCAAGUAUUUUAAAUAAAUGAAAUAUUAUAGUUUGAAUUA